GCAUCCAUGAGAAAAUAUGGCACAAGAAGUUGUGCAGGUGCAUAUAACUACGAAAGGAUGAUUAAAAUGGAGUCCAUGGUAGAAUAAGGGUGAUGCAGCUUGUAUUAUUCAACUUAAAGAACGGUACAUCAAAGAAGAAUAGAGAUAUGC